rnacentral:rRNA from 1 species
GUGCACCAGGCGAGAAACUUUACAAUGUGCGAAAGCACGAUAAGGGAACUCUGAGUGCCUCCUAAGGAGGCUGCUCAGGUGUACUAAAAGCACCUGGAGUAAGGGCUGGGUAAGACCGGUGCCAGCCGCCGCGGUAACACCGGCAGCCCAGGUGGUAGCCACUUUUAUUGGGUCUAAAGCGUCCGUAGCCGGUUGAGUAAGUUCCUUGGGAAAUUUGGCUGCUCAACAGUCAAGCUUCCAGGGAAUACUGCUCGACUUGGGACUGGGAGAGGUCAGAGGUACUCCGAGGGGUAGGGGUGAAAUCCAUUAAUCCCGUGGGGGACCACCGGUAGCGAAGGCGUCUGACCAGACCAGGUCCGACGGUGAGGGACGAAGGCUAGGGUCGCGAACCGGAUUAGAUACCCGGGUAGU